rnacentral:rRNA from 1 species
CAGUAGCCGCGGUAAUACGAAGGGGGCUAGCGUUGUUCGGAUUUACUGGGCGUAAAGGGUGCGUAGGCGGACUGAUAAGUCAGGGGUGAAAUCCCAAGGCUCAACCUUGGAACUGCCUUUGAUACUGUUAGUCUUGAGUUCGAGAGAGGUGAGUGGAACUGCGAGUGUAGAGGUGAAAUUCGUAGAUAUUCGCAAGAACACCAGUGGCGAAGGCGGCUCACUGGCUCGAAACUGACGCUGAGGCACGAAAGCGUGGGGAGCAAACAGGAUUAGAUACCCGAGUAGUCCCUGUCUCUUAUAC